ACUGAAGUCAGACAAGAACACAGAGAAAACAGACACGGGAGAGGCCAGUGGCCUGUGUACAGUGCUGGUCACAGAGCGGGGGAGCUGCAUCCAGCCUGAGACGGGUGACCCACCCCCCAGGGGACCACCACUCAAGGUUACCACCCCCGCCCACACCAGGUGGCGCCAGUGGUAAAGAACCCGUCUGACAUCACGGGAGGAUGUGGUGUGGGGGAGGUCUGGAGCUACUCCAUCUACUUCCAAAGACGCAUCUCACAGGAGUCAGCCUGAUUUACGUAAAACCAUAAGCAUGACGGAGAGUGAGUCUCCAGAGCUCCAACCCCUCCGGUUACCUAAGUAGUCAGCGUACGUCCCGUAAGCAAACACUGUGAGCAGCCGGAACGUGGAAGCAAAGUCGCUCUCAGCCAGCUGCGGAAACAUGAGGGGAGAGAAGCAGUG